rnacentral:rRNA from 1 species
UACAGGAGGUCCCAAGCGUUUGUUCGGAUUCACUGGGCGUAAAGGGUGCGUAGGUGGCUUGGUAAGUUUGAUGUGAAAUCUCCGGGCUUAACCCGGAAAUGGCAUUGAAUACUACUUUAGCUGGAGGUUUGGAGGGGGGACUGGAAUUCUCGGUGGUAGCAGUGAAAUGCGUAGAUAUCGAGAGGAACACCAGUGGCGAAGGCGAGUCC